UCAACCAUGCAAUAUUUUAUGUCAUCGUUUGCAACAUUUUUCUCUACUAACUGCAAUAUCCGGGUUUUUUAGAGGAAAAAAGCAACAUGCCCUAGCUCCAUUCCAUUACGAAAUGAAACACAGAGUUUAGAUCUUACAAAAGUAGCACACAGAGGAGCAGCAAACCCACUGCCUCAGCCACAAUGCGGAAAUGCGCCCCAUAAAGAAAAGUAGUACAAAACAUAAAUUAGCUGGCCUAUUACAUAAAUGAAAGUUCACCCGUGUUUACACCAUAGUUGCCUAGGUACAGGGGAGCCCCAUUUUACAUCUACUCCCCAGCUACCAGAAGAUCUUCAGUGAGCAUUGUCCCACUUCAGCCAGGAUCUGGCCACAUCAGAAGAGGGGGGGCUCCUCGCCAGUUGCUCCAGCUCCCUUGACCAUUUUUCCAGCUUGUUCCUGGCAUGACCUGAGGAUAGGCAUUCCCACAAAGAUAGAUUCGACGCAGUUUUUCGCCAUAUAGCCUGCAUCCCAGGCCAGACAAUAGCAUCGAAAACCAUGUUAUUGCGAGUUUUUCAGAUAGCCCACUGGCCAGCUGCAUGUAUGAUAUUGAUUGCAGCAAAUCUAUCUCCUCUAGACCAACAGGAAGAGAAGGACAUCAUAUUGAUGUCCCCCGCAAAACCAGUUAGCCUAUUGAUAGAUCUCCAUAAUUCAGUAGCAACAACACAACCAAAAAAUAAAUGGUAGCAAGAUACCAGCUCAGAGCAAAAUACACAAGUUACACCAAAACAGUUUGCCUCUUAACUAAACUGUCUCUAGUGAGCAUGUCGUCCCUCAUCGAUUGUAGGACACGUCAUCUCAGCGGUUGCAACAUCCUUCAUUGACGGCUAUAGCAUUUCAUUUAGAAUGGUUGUCGCAUUUAUUAUUGUUGCUUGCAAUACCAUCGUAACACUUUUUUGUCCCCGUUUGUAACAUCCAGUCGUGCCGCUUGUAGCAAAAAACCACGCCGACGUCACUCGGCUGAGACUUUGUUAAGUCUCAAUCGACUGAGUUUUAGACACGCCCAUUAAACAAAGCUUCACGGGGAUUGUUAAAAAAGAUGGGGGCCAGCGCUCUGUGCCGGUCGACCGGCGCAACCCCCUGUCUAAGCCGCACGGUUGAGAUUGUUGUCAACGUUGGAUGUGCCUGUUGCGUCAUUCGCUUCUCGUCUCGCACAGAAAUAAAACCCUGACUCCUAUUGCACACGGACAACAAAUUCAACAGAGCAUCCGGACCAACCUGUGGUUGCACUGUUAUUCUAGAACUUUGUGUGCUCAAGAUCAUACAACUUGUUGCUUUAGGAAGGAUACUAAACACCCUCGGUUCCAAUCUGAGUACAAUGAUAAUGACACAUUGGCUUUUUAUAUUGAGGAUGCAUAUGAUUAUUAUGAUAUAUAACAAACUAAAGAAUCUAUUGCUUUUAGGGGUGCUUAUGAAAUUGCCUCUUUGCCUAAAUUUGAAACUAAUGAUGCUCCUUGUAAAUCUAAAAACUUUGCUAUAGUUAAAUAUUGCUUCAAAAAUUUCAAUAACAAUCCUUAUAUUACUAAUGAUAUUAAGAAAGUCUUCGUCGUCCGAGAAGAGAUUUAUGUUUUGCAGGUACCAAUGGAAGAAGAAAUUACUGAAAUUGAUUGCUCUUUACAUGAAAAAGAUGAGGAAGAGUGAAGAACAAGGAGGAAGAGCGGGUUGAUAACCUUUGCCCAACCUCCAUUUAGGGUUACUGUUUCACUGUUUGCCUUUGCCUAACUUUGCAAAUGAGGAGCAGCUAAGGAACAAUUGGUAUCUCGACACGUCGGUCAAUGACAUGAGCGACAUGUGCAACGACAUAUGGCUGGGUGACUUCUGACGAUUAUCCAGACCGUCAGGUUUCAUGUCGAACAACGUCAUGCGCGAGGCUGAGAGGUUGUCGCUCCUCGACACGUCCUUCUCAACACAUUUUGACGCACUUGAUCAGUCGGUUCUCGAUGCAAUGCACGCCAUCCUCCCGCCCUUUUACAUCAUCGAUCCGCUACAUCUCCACGCCAGAAACGCCGCCCCCCCUGUCGGUGUCAAAACCGGCGGAUCUCGGGUAGGGGGUCCCGAACUGUGCUUCUAGGCGGAUGGUAACAGGAGACAAGGGACACGAUGUUUUUACCCAGGUUCGGGCCCUCUCGAUGGAGGUAAAACUCUACUCCUGCUUGAUUAAUAUUGAUGAUAUGGGUAGUACAAGAGUAGAUCUACCACGAGAUCGGAGUGGCUAAACCCUAGAAUCUAGCAUAUGGUAUGAUUGUUGUUCGUCCUACGGACUAAAACUCUCCGCUUUAUAUAGACACCGGAGAGGGCUAGAGUUACACAGAGUCGGUUACAAUGGGAGGAGAUCUUCAUAUCGUAUCGCCAAGCUUGCCUUCCACGCCAAGGAAAGUCCCAUCCGGACACGGGACGGAGUCUUCAAUCUUGUAUCUUCAUAGUCCGGGAGUCCGGCCAAAGGUCAUAGUCCGGCCAUCCGGACACCCCCUAAUCCAGGACUCCCUCAGUAGCCCCUGAACCAGGCUUCAAUGACGACGAGUCCGGCACGCAAGUUGUCUUCGGCAUUGCAAGGCGGGUUCCUCCUCCGAAUAUUUCAUAGAAGAUGUUGAACACCAGGGUAGUGUUCGGCUCUGCAAAAUAAGUUCCACAUUCCUUCGUAGAGAGAAUAAUAUUUGUAUUAAUCGGAUCUGCUGACGUAUUCUGUGGCGUGACAUCAUGCCACAGCCAGGCUCUUUAUUUAUUCCAUUGUUCCAUCUCAGCGCGUUUAGCGAGGCGGUUUACUUGGCACGUCUUGUCAAAGCAGAGAUCGUGUCCCCUUAUUCCGGGAUUCUCAUCAAUACGGGUGCGGGUAACCCAACUGUGCCUUUGGUAUGACUCCCUAAUUGAAAGCGAGUCUCAAACAGUUACGGGGAGGGCUCUUGGUAUUCAACUCCUUUAUAAAGGGACCAAGUCUCGGCUCCCUUCUUUUCAAUCCAAUCGAAUCCGCCCCCUUGCUUCGAGUUCCAACACCCAAAGCUCUAGUUUUAGGCGCUUCAGACCUUCGACGAUGUCCGGCUCUGACCUUGAAGGCCGGUGGAUGCCUUCCUCCAUUACGGAAGAAGAUGUGCGAAAGCUGAGAGAUGCCAGGUAUCUAACCAGCGAAAUCUCGCAUAGGCUUCCUGCUCAAGGGCAGGCCAUUCCCACUCCCCAGCCCGGUGAGAGCGUGGUGUUCGCAUCUCACUUCCUUCGGGGGCUAAGCUUCCCGAUUGAUCCCUUCAUGAGGGGGCUCAUGUUUUAUUACGGGCUGGAGUUCCACGACUUAGCUCCGGAGUCCAUCCUCCAAAUCUC
rnacentral:rRNA from 1 species